rnacentral:rRNA from 1 species
AGUGAACGCUGGCGGUAGGCCUAACACAUGCAAGUCGAACGGCAGCACCGUAAGAGCUUGCUCUUACGGGUGGCGAGUGGCGUACGGGUUAGGAAUACAUCGGAAUCUACUUUUUCGUGGGGGAUAACGUAGGGUAACUUACGCUAAUACCGCAUACGACCUACGGGUGAAAGCGGGGGAUCUUCGGACCUUGCGCGAUUGAAUGAGCCGAUGUCGGAUUAGCUAGUUGGCGGGGUAAAGGCCCACCAAGGCGACGAUCCGUAGCUGGUCUGAGAGGAUGAUAGGAGACACUGGAAGAGAGUGACGGGCCAGACUCCUACGGGAGGAAGCAGUGGGGAAUAUCGGACAAUGGGAGCAAGCAUGAUCCAGCCAUACCGGGUGGGUGAAGAAGGCAUUCGGGUUGUAAAGCACUUUUGUUGGGAAAGAAAAGCAGCAGGUUAAGACCCAGAUGUUCUGACGGUACCUAAAGAAUAAGCACCGGCUAACUUCGUG